CUGCACUGCAUACCCUCCACCCCCGCGUCCGAGCGCGACCCUGGCCCCGGCCCGUCUCGCCUGACCGCCGCCACGCCGACGGCUGACCAGCACGCGGGCCCAGCACCCCCGACCUCCGCCCAGGUCCCCUUCUUCUCGCCCUUCGCCAGCGACGAGCACCCAAUAGGUCUGAAGGAUGAGAAAGGGACUGCAUCCUCAGAUGCAAUGGAUCUCAUAUGUGACGCAGAGUGGUAG
rnacentral:misc_RNA from 1 species